AGCGUACACGGUGGAUGCCCUGGCAGUCAGAGGCGAUGAAGGACGUGCUAAUCUGCGAUAAGCGUCGGUAAGGUGAUAUGAACCGUUAUAACCGGCGAUUUCCGAAUGGGGAAACCCAGUGUGUUUCGACACACUAUCAUUAACUGAAUCCAUAGGUUAAUGAGGCGAACCGGGGGAACUGAAACAUCUAAGUACCCCGAGGAAAAGAAAUCAACCGAGAUUCCCCCAGUAGCGGCGAGCGAACGGGGAGGAGCCCAGAGCCUGAAUCAGUGUGUGUGUUAGUGGAAGCGUCUGGAAAGGCGCGCGAUACAGGGUGACAGCCCCGUACACAAAAAUGCACAUGCUGUGAGCUCGAUGAGUAGGGCGGGACACGUGGUAUCCUGUCUGAAUAUGGGGGGACCAUCCUCCAAGGCUAAAUACUCCUGACUGACCGAUAGUGAACCAGUACCGUGAGGGAAAGGCGAAAAGAACCCCGGCGAGGGGAGUGAAAAAGAACCUGAAACCGUGUACGUACAAGCAGUGGGAGCNNNNNNNNNNNNGUGACUGCGUACCUUUUGUAUAAUGGGUCAGCGACUUAUAUUCUGUAGCAAGGUUAACCGAAUAGGGGAGCCGAAGGGAAACCGAGUCUUAACUGGGCGUUAAGUUGCAGGGUAUAGACCCGAAACCCGGUGAUCUAGCCAUGGGCAGGUUGAAGGUUGGGUAACACUAACUGGAGGACCGAACCGACUAAUGUUGAAAAAUUAGCGGAUGACUUGUGGCUGGGGGUGAAAGGCCAAUCAAACCGGGAGAUAGCUGGUUCUCCCCGAAAGCUAUUUAGGUAGCGCCUCGUGAAUUCAUCUCCGGGGGUAGAGCACUGUUUCGGCAAGGGGGUCAUCCCGACUUACCAACCCGAUGCAAACUGCGAAUACCGGAGAAUGUUAUCACGGGAGACACACGGCGGGUGCUAACGUCCGUCGUGAAGAGGGAAACAACCCAGACCGCCAGCUAAGGUCCCAAAGUCAUGGUUAAGUGGGAAACGAUGUGGGAAGGCCCAGACAGCCAGGAUGUUGGCUUAGAAGCAGCCAUCAUUUAAAGAAAGCGUAAUAGCUCACUGGUCGAGUCGGCCUGCGCGGAAGAUGUAACGGGGCUAAACCAUGCACCGAAGCUGCGGCAGCGACGCUUAUGCGUUGUUGGGUAGGGGAGCGUUCUGUAAGCCUGUGAAGGUGUGCUGUGAGGCAUGCUGGAGGUAUCAGAAGUGCGAAUGCUGACAUAAGUAACGAUAAAGCGGGUGAAAAGCCCGCUCGCCGGAAGACCAAGGGUUCCUGUCCAACGUUAAUCGGGGCAGGGUGAGUCGACCCCUAAGGCGAGGCCGAAAGGCGUAGUCGAUGGGAAACAGGUUAAUAUUCCUGUACUUGGUGUUACUGCGAAGGGGGGACGGAGAAGGCUAUGUUGGCCGGGCGACGGUUGUCCCGGUUUAAGCGUGUAGGCUGGUUUUCCAGGCAAAUCCGGAAAAUCAAGGCUGAGGCGUGAUGACGAGGCACUACGGUGCUGAAGCAACAAAUGCCCUGCUUCCAGGAAAAGCCUCUAAGCAUCAGGUAACAUCAAAUCGUACCCCAAACCGACACAGGUGGUCAGGUAGAGAAUACCAAGGCGCUUGAGAGAACUCGGGUGAAGGAACUAGGCAAAAUGGUGCCGUAACUUCGGGAGAAGGCACGCUGAUAUGUAGGUGAAGUCCCUCGCGGAUGGAGCUGAAAUCAGUCGAAGAUACCAGCUGGCUGCAACUGUUUAUUAAAAACACAGCACUGUGCAAACACGAAAGUGGACGUAUACGGUGUGACGCCUGCCCGGUGCCGGAAGGUUAAUUGAUGGGGUCAGCGCAAGCGAAGCUCUUGAUCGAAGCCCCGGUAAACGGCGGCCGUAACUAUAACGGUCCUAAGGUAGCGAAAUUCCUUGUCGGGUAAGUUCCGACCUGCACGAAUGGCGUAAUGAUGGCCAGGCUGUCUCCACCCGAGACUCAGUGAAAUUGAACUCGCUGUGAAGAUGCAGUGUACCCGCGGCAAGACGGAAAGACCCCGUGAACCUUUACUAUAGCUUGACACUGAACAUUGAGCCUUGAUGUGUAGGAUAGGUGGGAGGCUUUGAAGUGUGGACGCCAGUCUGCAUGGAGCCGACCUUGAAAUACCACCCUUUAAUGUUUGAUGUUCUAACGUUGACCCGUAAUCCGGGUUGCGGACAGUGUCUGGUGGGUAGUUUGACUGGGGCGGUCUCCUCCUAAAGAGUAACGGAGGAGCACGAAGGUUGGCUAAUCCUGGUCGGACAUCAGGAGGUUAGUGCAAUGGCAUAAGCCAGCUUGACUGCGAGCGUGACGGCGCGAGCAGGUGCGAAAGCAGGUCAUAGUGAUCCGGUGGUUCUGAAUGGAAGGGCCAUCGCUCAACGGAUAAAAGGUACUCCGGGGAUAACAGGCUGAUACCGCCCAAGAGUUCAUAUCGACGGCGGUGUUUGGCACCUCGAUGUCGGCUCAUCACAUCCUGGGGCUGAAGUAGGUCCCAAGGGUAUGGCUGUUCGCCAUUUAAAGUGGUACGCGAGCUGGGUUUAGAACGUCGUGAGACAGUUCGGUCCCUAUCUGCCGUGGGCGCUGGAGAACUGAGGGGGGCUGCUCCUAGUACGAGAGGACCGGAGUGGACGCAUCACUGGUGUUCGGGUUGUCAUGCCAAUGGCACUGCCCGGUAGCUAAAUGCGGAAGAGAUAAGUGCUGAAAGCAUCUAAGCACGAAACUUGCCCCGAGAUGAGUUCUCCCUGACUCCUUGA
rnacentral:rRNA from 1 species